GCCUCCGUGGCUUAGUAGUAUAGCGCAGCCUUGGUAAGGCUGAGGUCGCGGGUGCAACUCCCGCCGGAGGCU
rnacentral:tRNA from 1 species